GGCAGACCAUCUUUAUGCAGUGGGCAACAUCAACCCUGAUGUAACAGGGAGGACGUUUUGCAGACUGGUUCCCAAGUAGCACACGGAAGCAUUCAUCAAUGUAUGAUUUCAGGUUAGGACAAGGAGUGAAGGCCUUCACCAGAGCACCAAGAAUAGCCAGGGAAAAGUCACUCACAGCUUCUUUUGAACACCUUGGUAUAAGAAGAUGUGGCCAGAUGUACCAUUUGGUCGUGCCCGUUUUCUGACAACUGAACCAGUUGCAUCAAAGCAAACUACUGAGGGACAUUUUUUGGUUGCCAGGUUUGGAAGGUGACUUGGCUCGGGAUCUCCUAUAUCCAUCAACUCUGAUGCCUUUGCUGACCUCCAUACAGAUGGUUCCAUCCUACCCUCACACAACUCUUCUGAAAUCUGUGCACGAAGGGUUCCUGACAUGAAUCUUUUGGACUGGCCAGUGUGCAGGGAGAUGUCGGCGCCUUCAAUGGAACACUGGAGCACCAUUGGGCUGUUGACUGUUGGCUCUCUGUCAUUUUAACAUGACCUUGACACUCUUUACAGAAGCCUAUGAUAUCAAUGUACUUACUAGUGACAGUUGGAUAAACUUUUGAUCUUUGGAAUACAAAUUGUACAAGUGCUUUUCAACUUUUUCCAAACCAGAUCAUUAAUUAUAUGACUCCAUGUGCCAGGUUUUAAAAUUGUGUAAUUCCUUUUACCAGAUGAUGAAAACUUGUCAUUAUAUUCAACUUUUUCUGGUAUAAAUUUAAUCCAAUCUUCAAAUGGAACUUCAAGCUGAAAAUCUGAACAUUGUUCAGGAGAAGUGAUGUCUGAGUCAAACUCAGUGUCCACAGGGCCUUCAGGAUCACUUCCUUGAUUAACUUCCAAGCAUGACCAGAUGUUUUGUCUGUUUAGCUUUACAAAUGUGUACAGAUCUUUUGCAGACAUUUUAUUUCCCAACUGCUGACUUAUCUCUGUCCAGACAGCGGCAGCUGGAGUGGCUAUAUGGCCGUUUUCUAGAAUAGCCUCUUUUGAGUUGCAGAGAACUGCGAAAAGAGACUCUCUGUCUACUGCUGGCUGUCAAAGCAUCUAGUUAAAAAAUAAAAAGGCUUUGAUUAGCAUUGCUUAAAAUCUUGCCCACAUGAUUUCAAAGAAGCCACAAAACAUUGGUAUUCUAGCAGUGUCUGCACAAUUACAAUA